CCACGAGUUCAGGCCCCAGGAUAACAAGAGGUGUCGGACUCCUUGGACUCUGCUCUCAGCCGCGGCGCUGACGGGCCGCUACACAAUCCGAGCUGACAGAAACACGAGGCGGCGCGCCGAGAGGAGAGGAGGGUGAGCGCGAUGUCGUUUGCCUGGAGAGUCGUCGGCUCUUCGCGCGGAAUCUGCCUCGCCGUGGCAACAGGCUUCUUCCAAGGCACGCCGGCCGCGAGGACACCGCCUCUGAGUCGUCUCUGCAACGCAUUGAGAACGGAGUCAAUGUGCUGUGCUCUCUGCGUUGGCUCGCGCGCUCGAAUGAGUUCUUUGACGACAGAAUCGAUCGACUGAAAGCAGAAAAGGUGGGAUUCUUUCUGUGUCACAGCUCGCCGGGACCAACUGAGGGUCCAUCCGACUGCAGCUCGGUUCAGCUCAAACCCCCCACCUACGACACAGUAAAGCAAAACUAUGGGACGUCGAAGGAGGCGCUGGCGUGUAUCAAAAGAAUUCAGUGAAAGACGGAAAACACAGGGAAAAAAAUGUAUUUUUAGAGAUAUGUGGUUGCAGAGAUCUUAUAUGAGGCUUUAACUCAUAUUAAACUACAGGAUGUAAAAUAACUACAGGACAAAGUACACAUCAAUACACAUUAAUCAUCAUUCAUUAAUCAUUCAACGCCUUUCAGUGCUUGUGCUCCAUGAAGGAUCUGCAUGCAUGCGUACGUCCCGCUCAGACCUGACACUUGAUGUAAAGAUGUUGACGAGGCUGAUCGGUGUCAUUGAUCACUAAUCACUGUCUAGACUCCCCUUUUGCUUUUUUAUGUUGUGACCGGAUGAAGCUUGUAGUUGCUUGAAUCUUUCUUUUUUUACCCACCAGCUCUGUUGACUUUAUGAUUAAUUACCUUGAAGCUUGUUAAUCCCUGUGGGACCGACAUAAAUAACUAACGGCUCUGUUACAUUCAACCACUUUUUUAGCGCUUUCAGGAAGUGUGUUAAUUAGAAUGGCCAGGAGACUUGAAGAAAUUUAGUCAACAUGAACCGGAAUCCAAAUUAGCAUUGAAUGAAUUAAAUGUUAAUUAAAUUUAAUUCAAAAGCUGUUAAAAAUACCUUGUUUUGAAUUUUGUUAAAGUCUCAGCCUUAAGUUCCUUGUGAUUAUUGCCAGUAAUUAUUAUCCGGUUUUUGCCUUUUGCCUGAUUGAAAAGAAAAUGUGAGUUCCUCCUUUAGCAUUUUGACAAAGGCCAGUUAGGAGGUGAACAUAGCAGGAGGUCAAUAAAUAUUUAAAUAAA
ensembl:lncRNA